rnacentral:rRNA from 1 species
UAAUUGAAGAGUUUGAUCAUGGCUCAGAUUGAACGCUGGCGGCAGGCCUAACACAUGCAAGUCGAGCGGUAGCACAGGAGAGCUUGCUCUCUGGGUGACGAGCGGCGGACGGGUGAGUAAUGUCUGGGAAACUGCCUGAUGGAGGGGGAUAACUACUGGAAACGGUAGCUAAUACCGCAUGACCUCG